rnacentral:rRNA from 1 species
UUGAUUGGUGCUUGCAUCAUGAUUUACAUUUGAGUGAGUGGCGAACUGGUGAGUAACACGUGGGAAACCUGCCCAGAAGCGGGGGAUAACACCUGGAAACAGAUGCUAAUACCGCAUAACAACUUGGACCGCAUGGUCCGAGUUUGAAAGAUGGCUUCGGCUAUCACUUUUGGAUGGUCCCGCGGCGUAUUAGCUAGAUGGUGAGGUAACGGCUCACCAUGGCAAUGAUACGUAGCCGACCUGAGAGGGUAAUCGGCCACAUUGGGACUGAGACACGGCCCAAACUCCUACGGGAGGCAGCAGUAGGGAAUCUUCCACAAUGGACGAAAGUCUGAUGGAGCAACGCCGCGUGAGUGAAGAAGGGUUUCGGCUCGUAAAACUCUGUUGUUAAAGAAGAACAUAUCUGAGAGUAACUGUUCAGGUAUUGACGGUAUUUAACCAGAAAGCCACGGCUAACUACGUGCCAGCAGCCGCGGUAAUACGUAGGUGGCAAGCGUUGUCCGGAUUUAUUGGGCGUAAAGCGAGCGCAGGCGGUUUUUUAAGUCUGAUGUGAAAGCCUUCGGCUCAACCGAAGAAGUGCAUCGGAAACUGGGAAACUUGAGUGCAGAAGAGGACAGUGGAACUCCAUGUGUAGCGGUGAAAUGCGUAGAUAUAUGGAAGAACACCAGUGGCGAAGGCGGCUGUCUGGUCUGUAACUGACGCUGAGGCUCGAAAGUAUGGGUAGCAAACAGGAUUAGAUACCCUGGUAGUCCAUACCGUAAACGAUGAAUGCUAAGUGUUGGAGGGUUUCCGCCCUUCAGUGCUGCAGCUAACGCAUUAAGCAUUCCGCCUGGGGAGUACGGCCGCAAGGCUGAAACUCAAAGGAAUUGACGGGGGCCCGCACAAGCGGUGGAGCAUGUGGUUUAAUUCGAAGCUACGCGAAGAACCUUACCAGGUCUUGACAUACUAUGCAAAUCUAAGAGAUUAGACGUUCCCUUCGGGGACAUGGAUACAGGUGGUGCAUGGUUGUCGUCAGCUCGUGUCGUGAGAUGUUGGGUUAAGUCCCGCAACGAGCGCAACCCUUAUUAUCAGUUGCCAGCAUUAAGUUGGGCACUCUGGUGAGACUGCCGGUGACAAACCGGAGGAAGGUGGGGAUGACGUCAAAUCAUCAUGCCCCUUAUGACCUGGGCUACACACGUGCUACAAUGGAUGGUACAACGAGUUGCGAACUCGCGAGAGUAAGCUAAUCUCUUAAAGCCAUUCUCAGUUCGGAUUGUAGGCUGCAACUCGCCUACAUGAAGUCGGAAUCGCUAGUAAUCGCGGAUCAGCAUGCCGCGGUGAAUACGUUCCCGGGCCUUGUACACACCGCCCGUCACACCAUGAGAGUUUGUAACACCCAAAGUCG